rnacentral:rRNA from 1 species
AUGACAAAAAACUAUCACUUUCGAAAAAUGACCAGUUUAGAAGAUUUAAACACAUUUAUGACAAGUGGGGCCCACCCGUCAGGGCUGGCGUGGCAAGAAAGGGGAGGGCAACAGCGGAGCAACGCGGCCGUGGUCAACAGGGCCGCGCACCGCGCCACGCUGCAGGUGGGGGCGGCGCCGGAGACGUCCAGGUGGGGGCGUGGAGCUGUGCGCCGGCGCCGAACGGACGGGAGCAUAGCCGACAGAACAUCCCGGCGGAGAAACAGGAUGAGGAUCCCUUCCGGCAAGCGCAGAUCGUUGAGGGCGGGGUUCGGUACCAGCAGGAUCGCCCCCUCCGCCAUCGCCGGCCUGUCCGCCGCCACCUCCAGGAUCGCCUCCCGCGGCCGCGGCGGCGACGCCGCCGCGGCGCGCGCCGUGUUCGACGCAAUGCCCCGCCGCGAUGCCGUCGCGUGGAACGCCAUGCUCACCGCCUACGCCCGCGCCAGCUAG